UACAGAGGGUGCGAGCGUUAAUCGGAAUUACUGGGCGUAAAGCGUGCGUAGGCGGUUAUUUAAGUCGGGUGUGAAAGCCCCGGGCUCAACCUGGGAAUUGCAUUUGAUACUGGAUAGCUAGAGUUCGGCAGAGGGAAGUGGAAUUUCUGGUGUAGCGGUGAAAUGCGUAGAUAUCAGAAGGAACAUCAGUGGCGAAAGCGACUUCCUGGACCAGAACUGACGAUCAGGCACGAAAGCGUGGGGAGCAAACAGG
rnacentral:rRNA from 1 species